rnacentral:tRNA from 2 species
AUUCAUUUAGUAUAAUAAGUAUAUAAAGCUUCCAACUUUAAGGUUUUAUAAAAUGAAUA